GAUUGGCCUCGCGCAGCGCCGGGCCCGCCCCCUCCUCCUGGCCUCUCGGUGCUCGUGCCCCUCCCGGCGACGCCUGUGAUUGGUGGGGGCGCGCACGCAGCCCCACCCCGCGCACGCUCUCCGUACCGCCCCCGCCGCGACCUGAGGAGGGGGUGCUGUCGGCUGGGACCGCGACCCCUGCCCACUUUAGCCGGGGACCGAGACUCCCGCCCCCGGCCUCAUCCCGGGACCCCGACCCCGUCACCCCGGGAUCGCGACCCCCGUCCACCUCGGCCCAAGACCCCGACCCCUCCCUCCCCUCAUCCCGGGACCGGACCCUCCCCGGGGCCUUCUGGCCAUCCGGGUGGUCGGGUCAGGAGAGCCCCCUGAGCGCGCCCGGGAAAAGGGAGAAGGCGGCGUCGCCUGUCCGUGGAGCGGGUGCCCUGGGCCGCUCGUCGGCCAACUCCGUUCUCCGCGGUUUCAGGGGAAAUGCUGAAGACUCGGGAUGUCUUCCCAAACCCGAGCAUGUGCCACCCACCCGACCCAUUCUAUGGGGAGGAAAAACAAAAGUAAAGUAUGACUGAGGAAAGGCCAAGUAAAGACAGGGCAAGAAGGCGGCCAGGAAGAGGGCUUCACCGGAAACUGAAUUGGCUAGAACCUUGAUCUUGGACUGCUAGCCUCCAGAACUGCAUGGAAAAAAUAUGACUCGGUUCUAUCCGCAGUACAAGUGGCAGAGGCUCUGUGGUUCUCUGUGUAGCAGAUGGUCUGUGAGUGACCCACACGUUCCAAUCAGAGGGUGUUAGACCUCGGCCAUGGUUAGUGGUGGUGCACACUGAGAUACCAGGAGCUGGGGAGGAAGUCUGUGACUCGGUAGAACCAAGAAGGAAGUAGGCUGUGGGCUUGGAAGGGGAGGUUAAGAAGUCUCAGAUUUUCUUGAUUGACUGAGGAAUAGUGGUUUCUUCUUUAAAUGUAAAAAGCUCCCAGAACAUGAGGGCUUGCCUGGUAGCGCAGUGGUUGAAAGUCCGACUGCCGAUGCAGGGGAUGCGGGUUCAUGCCCCGGUCCUGGAAGAUCCCGCGUGCCACGGAGCAGCUGCGCCUGUGAGCCAUGGCCGCUGAGUCUGCGGGUCCGGAGCCUGUGCUCCACAA